GGCGUUGGGUGGCUUGGCGCGCCGGUGAGCCAAUGUGGCUGUGGAUAACGGAAAAGGCUUGGUUGGUUCAAUAUUACUGUGCAGAAGAUGAACACCAUUUCUUCCUAAACACAAGCCUCAUUCCUUUCCAUUCCAUUUCACCGCACAGUUCUCUUCCUCCUAUACUUCUGAUUUUCCAUUUCUAUGUUUCUGGAGGAGCUUAACUGCAACAUCUUGAGCUGUGUUUCAUUCGUUGUAUAUGCCAAUUGAAUUUCAGGGAACUAGCUUCCUUCCGUCAAGGCAGACACCAGUGACUACAAUCUUGUGGAGCUUCAUCAGAUGUGCCGUUCUCACGAUUCUUUGAAGGGUGGCCAUCAUUCCUGAAUUCUGUCAAAUAUUAGGUUGAGAAGAUUGAAGCCAUACAUUUUAACAGUCUUGAACUCAUUCCACCAAUGGCCAUCAUUGAAAAUUAAGAUAUCUGCACCAACCCACUUCUGGGAAAACCAAUGCAUCUCAUCGACUCGAAUGGCGGCGUUAACUUCACUGGAUGAGUUCGGAGGAGGUCGACCGAUGAUCACCAGAAAAGGAACUCUGUAGUAUUCAACUGUGUUAGCAUGCAUAGCAGUGACUCCCAUUGGUUUCUUCCAAUGGAAUCGCCAACGAACACGAUCCUCCCGUUUCGAGUUCUCUCCAACAGCUCACUUGCAUUGAAUCUAAGGUUGGAACAAGAAAACGGUUAUGAAUUUGAGUUCAAAUCACGAUAGUCAACCAUAUCAGAUACAGGUAGUGGACAUGAUGUUACAUGAACUUAUUGCAUUAACAAUUUUUUUAUUAAAAUGAUAGUCAACAUCUAGAUUGUAAAUAUAUUGUAGAUUAAGAUGGUUUGUUUGAGCAAUGUUCAAUAAUUGACAUUA